rnacentral:rRNA from 1 species
GACGAACGCUGGCGGCGUGCUUAACACAUGCAAGUCGAACGGUGAAGGGACCGGUUUUUGCUGGUUCUGGAUGAGUGGCGAACGGGUGAGUAACACGUGAGUAACCUGCCCCUUCUUUUUGAUAACCGCCUGAAAGUGUUGCCAAAACCGGGUUAUUUGCGGCUUGCGCCUGGUGGGGGUUGGGAAGGUUAUGUUUUGGGGGGGGGUUGGCUCGCGGCCUAUCAGCUUGUUGGUGGGGUGAUGGCCUACCAAGGCGGUGACGGGUAGCCGGCCUGAGAGGGUGGACGGUCACACUGGGACUGAGACACGGCCCAGACUCCUACGGGAGGCAGCAGUGGGGAAUAUUGCACAAUGGGCGCAAGCCUGAUGCAGCGACGCCGCGUGAGGGAUGGAGGCCUUCGGGUUGUAAACCUCUUUCGCCAGUGAAGCAGGCCUGUCCCUUUUGUGGGUGGGUUGACGGUAGCUGGAUAAGAAGCGCCGGCUAACUACGUG